GAUGAACGCUAGCUACAGGCUUAACACAUGCAAGUCGAGGGGAAACGAUAGAGAAAGCUUGCUUUUUCUAGGCGUCGACCGGCGCACGGGUGAGUAACGCGUAUACAACCUGCCCAUCACUUAGGGAUAACCUUGCGAAAGUAAGACUAAUACCCAAUGACGUCCAUAGAAGACAUCUGAAAGGGAUUAAAGAUUUAUCGGUGAUGGAUGGGGAUGAGUCUGAUUAGCUUGUUGGCGGGGUAACGGCCCACCAAGGCGAAGAUCAGUAGGGGUGCUGAGAGGAAGGUCCCCCACAUUGGAACUGAGACACGGUCCACACUACUACGGGAGGCAGCGGUGAGGAAUAUUGGUCAAUGGGCGAGAGCUUGAACCAGCCAAGUAGCGUGCAGGAUGACGGCCCUAUGGGUUGUAAACUGCUUUUAUAAGGGAAUAAAGUGAGCCUCGUGAGGCUUUUUGCAUGUACCUUAUGAAUAAGGACCGGCUAAUUCCGUGCCAGCCGCCGCAGUAA
rnacentral:rRNA from 1 species